rnacentral:tRNA from 1 species
GAUAUUUCAGUUUCAAUAAAUAUUAACUUGUGGAGUUAAAGAUUAAUAAUAUCA